rnacentral:rRNA from 1 species
GUAACGUAGAGUGCAACGACGUUGUCCGGAACUUAAGUUAGGGCGGUAAAGGGUAACGUAGGCGGAUAGUAAAGUCAAGCGUGAAAGGUGUCGGCUUAACCGACAGACUGCGUUUGAAACUGAUUAUCUUGAGUGUAACAGAGGAGAGUGGAAUUCCUAGUGUAGUGGUGAAAAUACGUAGAUAUUAGGAAGAACACCAGUGGCGAAAGGCGACUCUCUGGGUUAACACUGACGCUGAGGUACGAAAGCUGGGGGAGCGAACGGGAUUAGAUACCCGUGUAGU